AUAUAGUCUGUUAAUUCAGAUUGAUAAUUAAUCUUCGAGUCUCUCUUCCCUCUUGGCACCUCACUGUAAAAAAACCGAACCAGAACACCCACUCCCUCUCAUUCCUAAAGCAGCAAGCACACCUAAACUGAACUGCACCCGCUCCACACCUUCGACCAAAUCAACCAUGGUACAGAUUGCCUGACAGUUCAUUGUGUUUCAUCAUUUCCACCAGGUCCGUGGCGUUCCUAGGAAGGGGGGAUUACCGUUCCAUUGUUAUUCCCUUCCCCUUCCAGCCGUGCGUUCAUCAGCAAAGAAAUGGAGAGUUCAUCGUUGUUACUGCCUUUUCUUCCAUAGUAGGUUCUGACCAAGUUCUUCUUGGUGUGCGCAUGUCUUGGUUCGAUUUGAUGAGGACUUCCCCUGCAUGCAUAACCGAGUUUAAGUUCACAUCCACUCAUCCUUCUUCUUGUCCAGCCGAAACAACCCGCAGCAAGGAGAAUCUAUCUUAAGGAGGUGCAUGGAACUCAAUUUUUGGAGCUCUUGGAGGGGAGAGGUUGCUGUCUCCUAAUCGAUUUGGCUAGUGUGUGUACCGCUAAGAGGUGCGCAUAAACCUCUAAGAAUGUGGACUAUUCUGGUGUGGUUUGAAUUGUAUUUGGGCACGCAAGGUAUGUGUUUGGUGGUGAGACCUACUGUGACUAUUAGCUAGAGUAUGGAAUUUUGAACUGAUGCUCACAUG